rnacentral:lncRNA from 1 species
GGAAAGACUCCGCCGUUCCUUUAAGGAACCAGGCCGAAGGCGGGAAGGGAGAGGUGACGGGGCCAUCGGGACUGCUAAAACUGUAUCCAGAGCGUACCCAGGCGGCCCAGGGACCCGGGCGGGCGCGGGGGAUACGGCGGGAAAGGAAUGCAAGAGCUGCGGCUUCACCUGCGACAGAGAACCUGGCGGCUCCUGCAACCUCCUCCUCCUCCUGCGCCGCCUGCGCUUGGCGCUGCAAACCGCUGCAAAAGCCACUGCUGGGAACGCGGCGCAACCCAGAGCCCGCUCUUUAAGCGCGGCUGUUAGCACCCCGGGAGGCAGCGUAGGGAUGGGGUUGAGAUGGAAUGAAGGUAAUACUUUGUCUUGAGCCAGGGGCAACUAGGAUGCACAAACCCCCUCUGCAAACAGCCAGUGUACACACCCUGCAAGGAAGGCGCGCCACAGGCUGCAAAGGGAGACACAGGUUCCUCCAGCAGCAGUGGGCCAUGGGCACCGAGCGGGGACACGGGGACGCUGUAGUGGCUCUGGGGCCUCACCCUGCACUUGCGUCCGUCCACGGUCUCCUCCUCAAAGCCUUCUCCGACCUUGAAGUUGAUCUCAGUGGUGCGCACCGUGGUGGAUGUCUUGAUGUAGAACUGAUCCCCGUCCUGGCGGAUCUCCACGUGCGGCUUGGACGCAGCCGCUACGGCCACUUUCCUCAGCAUGGCGUUCACACCUGCGCAGGGUGCACCACAGGCUUGGGUCACGGGGCCUCGCCGCCAGUCUCGGGACCGGUCGGGCACUGGUCAUACCCUAACUUUAGAAAGGGGCCUUAAAAUUGAUCCACUCGUUUCCCUGCCCUCGCCCUUGUUUUCGAGAUGAGAGACUGAGGCACAGAGAGGGUAAGUGACUUUCCUCGAGUUGCACAGUGAAUUCGUGGCAGAGCCUGGUCCCAAAUUUGAGUCUCCAAAUUUAAGUCCCUGAUCCUCCUUGCUCUCCAGUAAUCUCUCCUCGCUAUGAUCUAGCACGAGAUAAAGUCCGCACCAUCGAGGAGGGCGCCAAACAUUCAGCAAACGUUCGCUGAACGCGUGGGUUCCGGGAUCUCUACCAGCUUCUCCGAGACCCGGUGCGCCUGGGAGACAAGGCGAUCUAUUGCCCCGGGGACUCCCUCCUGCCUGGGCUCCCCAACUUCCACCCCCUCCAGGACCGGGGCACUUCCGGGACCAGGGCACCUCCGGGCCGCAUCUCCCCGUCGGGGCGCGCCCUCUGCACCAGCUUACCCAGUGCCUUGAGCAGCUCGUCGAAAUUCUCGCUGCUGCGCAUCUUCCAGGUGCCGGCGAAGUUGGGCAUGGUGGCGGUGGCGGCGGCGGCAGGUACGGACAGCGGCGGCGCAGCGGGCACACUCUGAGCUCGCAAGGCGGAGACUGGCGCUUUGCGCCCAGCGCUGCGCGCCUUGAGUCACUAGGAGAGCGCCCCCAACCCCGCCGGGCUUCUGGCCCCGCCCCGCCGGCCCUGCCCCCGCUCCCCCGCAGCCCCUACUCGGUAUGCGCUCAACUCCCAGCCCAGUUGUGCCUCAGCCUCCAGAGGUGCGGGCACCCGCUCUCCAACUGGGGAGCCUCCACCUCCCUCAGGACACCCACAUCCCGCUUUAAAAUGGGUGGUGGGAGAGGGUUAGCUGAAACAAGAUGGGCUUGGAGGGGAUAACUGUUGAAGCUGGGCGGUGUGGACUUGGGUUAUGAUUCUACUUUUCUCUCUACUUUUGAAUAUGUUUGAAAAUAUCCAUAACAUAAACUUAAAGUGGAUAGCGAGCGGGGCCAUCAGGGGAUGGGACCCACUCUUUUUUCACCUCCGGUCGUACCUACUGGGUGUGCCCAGAUGGUGUCCCUUCCCUCCCAGUCCGGGAUCCUAUUCUGAAACCCUCUCCCCGCAUCCCCACGCCCCCCACAGGACCCAUGGGGAGUGAGUGGCAGGAAACCGCAACCCCCAUCAACACCAGCUUGGGCACUGAGGCGCGAAUCCACGAGCUGCGGGUCCUCCGCGUUCCGAGUGCAGGAGGGGGCCAGACCUUUGUCAGGGCUCAGGACAAACUGUGGGUCGAGAGGCAUGGACUGAAUCAGCUCCAGAAUCUGGGCUAGGUGCGGCCUGUUUUGCAAAAGCGUGAGGCUUUGCACUCUUCGGGCAGGCUGUGAGGGCCAAGGGGAGGAAGUCUUCUCCCUUUGCUCCCAAAUAACCUAAACAUCACGACCUAAAGUCCCCUCGGUGUUUCCACUAAGGGAGUACAAACACUUCACUAUUACCCUUGUAGCUCUUCUCUGUACAUUUUCCUUCCAGCUUUUUCCCACUAUUUUACCAUCUGCACACCUCAGCCAAACUGUACAAUUCAGGAUUCUAGAACGUGCCAUGCAUUUUAUUAUCUCUAAGUUUUUGCCCAUGCCAUGGCUUCUUCCUUGAAUGCCCCUUUCCUCAUCGGGUUAAUCAAAUCUUGCCCAUUCACGAAAGCCCAUCUUUAUGCUCUCUCUUUUGUGAAAUUCAGUUUCCUAAUAAACUGUGAUUAUUUUUCUCUGAAUUGAC